GCGGAAGUAGUUCAGCGGUAGAACACCACCUUGCCAAGGUGGGGGUCGCGGGUUCGAACCCUGUCUUCCGCUCCA
rnacentral:tRNA from 1 species